rnacentral:tRNA from 7 species
UCGGGGAUCGUCUAAUGGUAGGACAGAGGCCUUUGAAGCCUUCAAUUGGGGUUCGAAUCCCUAUCCCCGAG